rnacentral:rRNA from 1 species
GACGAACGCUGGCGGCGUGCCUAAUACAUGCAAGUAGAACGCUGAAGGAGGAGCUUGCUUCUCUGGAUGAGUUGCGAACGGGUGAGUAACGCGUAGGUAACCUGCCUGGUAGCGGGGGAUAACUAUUGGAAACGAUAGCUAAUACCGCAUAAGAGUAGAUGUUGCAUGACAUUUGCUUAAAAGGUGCAAUUGCAUCACUACCAGAUGGACCUGCGUUGUAUUAGCUAGUUGGUGAGGUAACGGCUCACCAAGGCAACGAUACAUAGCCGACCUGAGAGGGUGUGCGGCACCACGGGGAGUGGAACCGGGCCCAGACCCCGCGGGGAGGCAGCGGAGGGGAAUCUUCGGCAAGGGACGGAAGUUGGCCGGAGAAACGCCGGGGGGGAAAAAAAGGUUUUGGGAGCGAAAAGCUUUGUUUAAAGGGAAAAAGGGGGGGGAGGGGGGAAAGUUCACACUGUGACGGUAUUUUCCCAAAAAGGGACGGCAAACUACGU